rnacentral:rRNA from 1 species
UACGAAGGGGGCUAGCGUUGUUCGGAAUUACUGGGCGUAAAGCGCACGUAGGCGGAUAUUUAAGUCAGGGGUGAAAUCCCGGGGCUCAACCCCGGAACGGCCUUUGAUACUGGAUGUCUUGAGUCCGGAAGAGGUGAGUGGAAUUGCGAGUGUAGAGGUGAAAUUCGUAGAUAUUCGCAAGAACACCAGUGGCGAAGGCGGCUCACUGGCCCGAUACUGACGCUGAGGCACGAAAGCGUGGGGAGCAAACAGG